CCGUCUCAGUUCGGAUCGCAGGCUGCAACCCGCCUGCGUGAAGUCGGAAUCGCUAGUAAUCGCGGAUCAGCAUGCCGCGGUGAAUACGUUCCCGGGCCUUGUACACACCGCCCGUCACACCAUGAGAGUCGGGAACACCCGAAGUCCGUAGCCUAACCGCAAGGAGGGCGCGGCCGAAGGUGGGUUCGAUAAUUGGGGUGAAGUCGUAACAAGGUACC
rnacentral:rRNA from 1 species